CCCUUAGAUGUCCUGGGCCGCACGCGCGCUACACUGACAUGUUCAACAAGCCUCCUAGUUCGACAGGAUUUGGGAAAUCUUUGAACGCAUGUCGUGAUAGGGAUAGAUCAUUGCAAUUAUUGAUCUUGAACGAGGAAUUCCUAGUAAACGCGAGUCAUCAGCUCGCAUUGAUUACGUCCCUGCCCUUUGUACACACCGCCCGUCGCACCUACCGAUUGAAUGUUUCGGUGAAGAUUCCGGAUAGGACUUUUUUGAUUUAUUUCAAUUCUGUCUCAAAAGCUAUCUAAACCUCAACAUUUAGAGGAAGGUGAAGUCGUAACA
rnacentral:rRNA from 1 species